rnacentral:rRNA from 1 species
GAUGAACGUUGGCGGCGUGCCUAAUACAUGCAAGUCGAACGAAGACUGUAGUAAUACUGUCUUAGUGGCGAACGGGUGAGUAACGCGUGGGUGACCUGCCCCGAAGUGUGGGAUAACAGUCCGAAAGGAUUGCUAAUACUGCAUAAUAUCCAAGAGAUUAGAUGCUUUUGGAUUAAAGGAGUAAUUCGCUUCGGGAGGGGCCCGCGUCCCAUCAGCUAGUUGGUAAGGUAAUGGCUUACCAAGGCGAUGACGGGUAGGGGACCUGAGAGGGUGGCCCCCCACAAUGGAACUGAAACACGGUCCAUACACCUACGGGUGGCAGCAGUAGGGAAUAUUAGUAAUGGGCGAAAGCCUGAACUAGCAACGCCGCGUGUGCGAAGAAGGCCUUCGGGUCGUAAAGCACUUUUUGAGAGGAUGAGGAAGGACGGUAACUCUCAGAAUAAGUCUCGGCUAACUACGUGCCAGCAGCCGCGGUAACUCGUAGUCUACG